rnacentral:rRNA from 1 species
AGAGUUUGAUCAUGGCUCAGAUUGAACGCUGGCGGCAGGCCUAACACAUGCAAGUCGAGCGGUAGCACAGAGAGCUUGCUCUCGGGUGACGAGCGGCGGACGGGUGAGUAAUGUCUGGGAAACUGCCUGAUGGAGGGGGAUAACUACUGGAAACGGUAGCUAAUACCGCAUAACGUCGCAAGACCAAAGUGGGGGACCUUCGGGCCUCAUGCCAUCAGAUGUGCCCAGAUGGGAUUAGCUGGUAGGUGGGGUAACGGCUCACCUAGGCGACGAUCCCUAGCUGGUCUGAGAGGAUGACCAGCCACACUGGAACUGAGACACGGUCCAGACUCCUACGGGAGGCAGCAGUGGGGAAUAUUGCACAAUGGGCGCAAGCCUGAUGCAGCCAUGCCGCGUGUGUGAAGAAGGCCUUCGGGUUGUAAAGCACUUUCAGCGGGGAGGAAGGCGGUGAGGUUAAUAACCUCACCGAUUGACGUUACCCGCAGAAGAAGCACCGGCUAACUCCGUGCCAGCAGCCGCGGUAAUACGGAGGGUGCAAGCGUUAAUCGGAAUUACUGGGCGUAAAGCGCACGCAGGCGGUCUGUCAAGUCGGAUGUGAAAUCCCCGGGCUCAACCUGGGAACUGCAUUCGAAACUGGCAGGCUAGAGUCUUGUAGAGGGGGGUAGAAUUCCAGGUGUAGCGGUGAAAUGCGUAGAGAUCUGGAGGAAUACCGGUGGCGAAGGCGGCCCCCUGGACAAAGACUGACGCUCAGGUGCGAAAGCGUGGGGAGCAAACAGGAUUAGAUACCCUGGUAGUCCACGCUGUAAACGAUGUCGAUUUGGAGGUUGUGCCCUUGAGGCGUGGCUUCCGGAGCUAACGCGUUAAAUCGACCGCCUGGGGAGUACGGCCGCAAGGUUAAAACUCAAAUGAAUUGACGGGGGCCCGCACAAGCGGUGGAGCAUGUGGUUUAAUUCGAUGCAACGCGAAGAACCUUACCUGGUCUUGACAUCCACAGAACUUUCCAGAGAUGGAUUGGUGCCUUCGGGAACUGUGAGACAGGUGCUGCAUGGCUGUCGUCAGCUCGUGUUGUGAAAUGUUGGGUUAAGUCCCGCAACGAGCGCAACCCUUAUCUUUUGUUGCCAGCGGUCCGGCCGGGAACUCAAAGGAGACUGCCAGUGAUAAACUGGAGGAAGGUGGGGAUGACGUCAAGUCAUCAUGGCCCUUACGACCAGGGCUACACACGUGCUACAAUGGCAUAUACAAAGAGAAGCGACCUCGCGAGAGCAAGCGGACCUCAUAAAGUAUGUCGUAGUCCGGAUUGGAGUCUGCAACUCGACUCCAUGAAGUCGGAAUCGCUAGUAAUCGUAGAUCAGAAUGCUACGGUGAAUACGUUCCCGGGCCUUGUACACACCGCCCGUCACACCAUGGGAGUGGGUUGCAAAAGAAGUAGGUAGCUUAACCUUCGGGAGGGCGCUUACCACUUUGUGAUUCAUGACUGGGGUGAAGUCGUAACAAGGUAACCGUAGGGGAACCUGCGGUUGGAUCACCU